CAGCUAUGAUGAUUAAAGGAUAUGGUUUCUCUUUCAAUGAAAGUUAAUGAUCACAUUUUCCUUGGCUGUCUGAGCUG